rnacentral:rRNA from 1 species
UGAGGAAUAUUGGUCAAUGGUCGAGAGACUGAACCAGCCAAGUCGCGUGAAGGAUGACUGCCCUUUGGGUUGUAAACUUCUUUUACAAGGGAAUAAAAUGAGAUACGUGUAUUUUAUUGCAUGUACCUUGUGAAUAAGCAUCGGCUAACUUCGUGCCAGCAGCCGCGGUAAUACGGAGGAUGCGAGCGUUAUCCGGAUUUAUUGGGUUUAAAGGGUGCGUAGGUGGGCUGUUAAGUCAGCGGUGAAAGUUUGUCGCUUAACGAUAAAAUUGCCGAUGAAACUGGUAGUCGUGAGUAUAGAUGAAGUAGGCGGAAUACGGAGUGUAACGGUGAAAUGCAUAGAGGUCACGCAGAACUCCGAUUGCGAAGGCAGCUUACUAAGGAAUAACUGACACAGAAGCACGAAAGCGUGGGUAUCAAACAGG